AUGCAUGUAUUGGUAAAUCCAAGACUAAAGUAAAUUAAGGAAAAAACUAAACUGGAAAAAAUGUGUGUACCGGGUAAUUCAAAAUUUUGAGUGAAAAUAAGUAAAAAAGUUUUUCUAAAAAUUCACCAUUAUGAAAGUGACUACUUAAAAUUAGAGCAAUCACUUCACUUGUAAGUAACGAUAGGUAAAUGGAAAAAAAUAGACCAAAUUUAAUUUUAAGAUAAUUAUAUUUUGAAAAAUAAUGCUCAAUCCAGAGUAAAGCUAGUAUUUUUUUUUCCCCAAAGACAUAGGUACAUAAACUUAAUCUCUUGUAAAAUAUGAAGGAACGUUUUCGAGACAUGUCCAGUCACCACACAGGCAGUGUGCCGUCCACCCAAGAAAAUUUAACAAGCUAAUAAGAGGAAUGGUCAAAAAAGAAGCCUACAAAAAUAAAUAAAACUUGAAAGGAUACUCUGCAGCUAUUUCUUUUCUGUGUU